GAUGAACGCUGGCGGCGUGCCUAAUACAUGCAAGUCGAGCGAACAGACGAGGAGCUUGCUCCUCUGACGUUAGCGGCGGACGGGUGAGUAACACGUGGAUAACCUACCUAUAAGACUGGGAUAACUUCGGGAAACCGGAGCUAAUACCGGAUAAUAUAUUGAACCGCAUGGUUCAAUAGUGAAAGACGGUUUUGCUGUCACUUAUAGAUGGAUCCGCGCCGCAUUAGCUAGUUGGGAAGGUAACGGCUUACCAAGGCAACGAUGCGUAGCCGACCUGAGAGGGUGAUCGGCCACACUGGAACUGAGACACGGUCCAGACUCCUGCGGGAGGCAGCAGUAGGGAAUCUUCCGCAAUGGGCGAAAGCCUGACGGAGCAACGCCGCGUGAGUGAUGAAGGUCUUCGGAUCGUAAAACUCUGUUAUUAGGGAAGAACAAAUGUGUAAGUAACUAUGCACGUCUUGACGGUACCUAAUCAGAAAGCCACGGCUAACUACGUG
rnacentral:rRNA from 1 species